GAUGAACGCUAGCGGCAGGCUUAAUACAUGCAAGUCGAGGGGCAGCAUGGGUAGCAAUACCUGAUGGCGACCGGCGGACGGGUGCGUAACACGUAUGGAACCUACCUUUUACAGGGGGAUAGCCCGGAGAAAUUCGGAUUAAUACCCCAUAAUAUUAGAUGUGGCAUCACAUUUAGUUGAAAGCUUUGGCGGUAAGAGAUGGGCAUGCGUCCGAUUAGCUAGUUGGUGAGGUAAUGGCCUACCAAGCCGACGAUCCAUAGCUGGUUUGAGAGGAUGAUCAGCCACACUGGGACUGAGACACGGCCCAGACUCCUACGGGAGGCAGCAGUGGGGAAUCUUAGACAAUGGGGGAAACCCUGAUCUAGCCAUGCCGCGUGAGCGAUGAAGGCCUUAGGGUUGUAAAGCUCUUUCAGUGGGGAAGAUAAUGACGGUACCAACAGAAGAAAGCCCCGGCUAAACUCCGUG
rnacentral:rRNA from 1 species